ACCAAUUCUAGCCCACACUCCCCCCAUUUCUACUACUACAUUAUAAUCAAAUAAAACAUUCACCAUAUAUUUAAAGUAUAGGAGAUAGAAAUCUAACUACCAAUGGCGCUAUAGAAAUAGUACCGCAAGGGAAAGAUGAAAGAAUAACCUAAAAGUAAUAAAAAGCAAAGCUUACCCCUUGUACCUUUUGCAUAAUGAAUUAACUAGUAAUAACUUAGCAAAGAGACCUUAAGCUAAACUACCCGAAACCAGACGAGCUACUUACGAGCAGUAUCUAGAACAAACUCAUCUAUGUGGCAAAAUAGUGAGAAGACUUAUAAGUAGAGGUGAAAAGCCUAACGAGCCUGGUGAUAGCUGGUUGUCCAUGAAAAGAAUUUCAGUUCAACGUUAAAUAAUACUAAAAGCCAUGCCAAGCCUUAACGUAUAUUUAACCGUUAGUCUAAAAAGGUACAGCUUUUUAGAAGUGGGUACACCCUUAACUAGAGAGUAAAAUAAAUAUCACACCAUAGUUGGCCUAAAAGCAGCCAUCAAUUAAGAAAGCGUUCAAGCUCAACAAUAAAUAAUGUUUUAAUUCCAACAUUAAACAAAUAAACUCCUAGUCUAAAUAUUGGACUAAUCUAUAUAGAUAUAGAAGCAAUACUGUUAACAUGAGUAACAAGAAACUUUUCUCCUAGCAUAAGCUUAUAUCAGUGACUGAUAAUAUACCGAUAAUUAACAGCAAAUAAAUAAAACCCAACACCAAGUUAUUUAACAAGACACUGUUAACCCAACACAGGCAUGCACCUAAGGAAAGAUUAAAAAAAGUAAAAGGAACUCGGCAAACACAAACCCCGCCUGUUUACCAAAAACAUCACCUCUAGCAUAACCAGUAUUAGAGGCACUGCCUGCCCGGUGACUAAUCGUUAAACGGCCGCGGUAUCCUGACCGUGCAAAGGUAGCAUAAUCACUUGUUCUCUAAUUAAGGACUUGUAUGAACGGCCACACGAGGGUUUUACUGUCUCUUACUUUUAAUCAGUGAAAUUGACUUCCCCGUGAAGAGGCGGGGAUAACAAAAUAAGACGAGAAGACCCUAUGGAGCUUCAAUUAAUUAACCCAAAAAUCAUAAUCCCAAACCACCAAGGAAUAACAAAAUUUUAUAUGGGUUAACAAUUUUGGUUGGGGUGACCUCGGAGUAUAAAAAACCCUCCGAGUGAUUAAAGCCUAGACUCACUAGUCAAAGCACAACAUCACUUAUUGAUCCAAUCUCUUGAUCAACGGAACAAGUUACCCUAGGGAUAACAGCGCAAUCCUAUUCUAGAGUCCAUAUCGACAAUAGGGUUUACGACCUCGAUGUUGGAUCAGGACAUCCUAAUGGUGCAGCCGCUAUUAAGGGUUCGUUUGUUCAACGAUUAAAGUCCUACGUGAUCUGAGUUCAGACCGGAGUAAUCCAGGUCGGUUUCUAUCUAUUACGCAUUUCUCCCAGUACGAAAGGACAAGAGAAAUAAGGCCAACUUCAAAUAAGCGCCUUCAAAUAAUUAAUGAUCUAAUCUUAACUUAAUAAUUAAGCGCAAAUAAAUCUGCCCAAGACCAGGGCCUU
rnacentral:rRNA from 1 species